rnacentral:rRNA from 1 species
CCUUUGACGUUAGCGGCGGACGGGUGAGUAACACGUGGGUAACCUACCUAUAAGACUGGGAUAACUUCGGGAAACCGGAGCUAAUACCGGAUAAUAUUUCGAACCGCAUGGUUCGAUAGUGGAAGGUGGUUUUGCUAUCACUUAUAGAUGGACCCGCGCCGUAUUAGCUAGUUGGUAAGGUAACGGCUUACCAAGGCGACGAUACGUAGCCGACCUGAGAGGGUGAUCGGCCACACUGGAACUGAGACACGGUCCAGACUCCUACGGGAGGCAGCAGCA